GGUCCUACGGGGGGCAGCAGUGGGGAAUAUUGGGCAAUGGAGGAAACUCUGACCCAGCAAUGCCGCGUGAAUGAAGAAGGUCUUCGGAUUGUAAAGUUCUUUAGUCAGGGAAGAAGUCAAUGACGGUACCUGAAGAAUAAGCUCCGGCUAACUACGUGCCAGCAGCCGCGGUAAUACGGAGGAUGCGAGCGUUAUCCGGAUUUAUUGGGUUUAAAGGGUGCGCAGGCGGACCAUCAAGUCAGCGGUAAAAUCGUGGGGCCCAACCCCAUCCCGCCGUUGAAACUGGCGGUCUUGAGUGAGCGGGA
rnacentral:rRNA from 1 species